GAUCAAACAUAGCUACGUAAUGUUACAGUUUUACUUGCAUUUGGCUACAUUUUGGCAGUAGCGUCGCCAGGAUUUCAUGAGUGGAAAGGCACAAAAUUUGUACCAGCCCUGCCGUACCAAUGAUAUUUGAAAAGACUAGCAA